rnacentral:rRNA from 1 species
UCUUUUUGGAGAGUUUGAUCCUGGCUCAGGAUGAACGCUGGCGGCGUGCCUAAUACAUGCAAGUCGAGCGGAUCUGAGGGAGCUUGCUCCCAAAGAUUAGCGGCGGACGGGUGAGUAACACGUGGGCAAUCUGCCUGUAAGACUGGGAUAACUUCGGGAAACCGGAGCUAAUACCGGAUAAUA